GAUGAACGCUAGCGACAGGCUUAACACAUGCAAGUCGAGGGGCAGCACAGGUAGCAAUACCGGGUGGCGACCGGCGCACGGGUGAGUAACGCGUAUGCAACUUACCUAUCAGAGGGGGAUAACCCGGCGAAAGUCGGACUAAUACCGCAUGAAGCAGGGGUCCCGCAUGGGGAUAUUUGCUAAAGAUUCAUCGCUGAUAGAUAGGCAUGCGUUCCAUUAGGCAGUUGGCGGGGUAACGGCCCACCAAACCGACGAUGGAUAGGGGUUCUGAGAGGAAGGUCCCCCACAGUGGUACUGAGACACGGACCAAACUCCUACGGGAGGCAGCAGUGAGGAAUAUUGGUCAAUGGCCGAGAGGCUGAACCAGCCAAGUCGCGUGAGGGAUGAAGGUUCUAUGGAUCGUAAACCUCUUUUAUAAGGGAAUAAAGUGCGGGACGUGUCCCGUUUUGUAUGUACCUUAUGAAUAAGGAUCGGCUAACUCCGUG
rnacentral:rRNA from 1 species